rnacentral:lncRNA from 1 species
ACUUCUCAGCUAGCACAGUGACCACCUCUUCCAUGCUGUUUGAAGUUCUGGCUGUCUUGUGGGGUCCAUUGUUACCACAGUAGAAUCCAACCAAGGUGGGCAUUGCCCCCAACUCCUGGUGUGACUAGCAACCCCAUAUAAAUGGUUUUUCCCAUUUCUUCACUUUGAAACCUCAGUCAAUAGCUCAAGAUCCUUACUAUAUAGAAGGAAGAAGAAAGGGAACUUCCUUUUUUAAACAACAUUUACAUAACACUAACAUGGCUUUUAUUCCAGACCUUUUUGUUAGUGAUUUUCAAAUAUUAACUCAUAACAUUAAAAAAUCCCAGGCUAGGGACUUUUGAAUCCAUUAUUUACUCCUGUGUCUCUCAGAAUAUUUGGAAACUACUCAUACCAGAAUCACAUGAAUCUUGUGAACAGUGAAGCUGUCUACACCUUCUAAAUCAAUCCAUACAACAACUGGGAGAGCAAAUGGAUCAUUUGAAGUGAUACAAAGUAAAGAACAACAAGCAGAAAAUGAAUCAUGUGGAUUGAGACUGCACCUGUCAGCACAUAGAGAGGAAUGAAAAGUUGAAGC